rnacentral:rRNA from 1 species
GACGAACGCUGGCGGCGUGCUUAACACAUGCAAGUCGAACGAAAAGAGGGAAAGAGCUUGCUCUUUCCGGAAUUGAGUGGCAAACGGGUGAGUAACACGUAAACAACCUGCCUUCAGGAUGGGGACAACAGACGGAAACGACUGCUAAUACCGAAUAAGUUCCAAGAGCCGCAUGGCCCAUGGAAGAAAAGGUGGCCUCUACCUGUAAGCUAUCGCCUGAAGAGGGGUUUGCGUCUGAUUAGCUGGUUGGAGGGGUAACGGCCCACCAAGGCGACGAUCAGUAGCCGGUCUGAGAGGAUGAACGGCCACACUGGAACUGAGACACGGUCCAGACUCCUACGGGAGGCAGCAGUGGGGAAUCUUCCGCAAUGGGCGAAAGCCUGACGGAGCAACGCCGCGUGAGUGAUGACGGCCUUCGGGUUGUAAAACUCUGUGAUCCGGGACGAAAAGGCAGAGUGCGAAGAACAAACUGCAUUGACGGUACCGGAAAAGCAAGCCACGGCUAACUACG